UACGUAGGGGGCAAGCGUUGUCCGGAAUCAUUGGGCGUAAAGAGCGUGUAGGCGGCCCGGUAAGUCCGCUGUGAAAGUCCAGGGCUCAACCCUGGGAUGCCGGUGGAUACUGUCGGGCUCGAGUCCGGAAGAGGAGUGUGGAAUUCCUGGUGUAGCGGUGAAAUGCGCAGAUAUCAGGAGGAACACCAAUGGCGAAGGGAGCACUCUGGGACGUGACUGACGCUGAGACGCGAAAGCGUGGGGAGCAAACAGG
rnacentral:rRNA from 1 species